rnacentral:lncRNA from 11 species
AAUAGCUUUGCUGCAUAUUUAGGAAUGCCAUUUUCCAUCACUUGGCAAUCUGCGCCAAUUGUCUUUUGCUCCAUUCCUAUAGAGGACAGAGUUUUCUUUUGACAUUUAAAAACAGAAGACAUAAACUGUGAAAGCCAUCCCUCCUCCCUCUACCCCCACCCUCUUUUUUGGUCUUUCUUUUAUUAUCCAAUUCCUUCUGCAGCUGCUCUAUGUGCUAUUUACAUUUUGUGCUUCUCAGCUGUGUUCCCAACCACUUUCUCCAGCAAAUUCCUAUUUAAAAAAAAAAAAAAGACAAAAGAGAUAAGCAUUCUGGAUUGGUGAUAGAGUUGUACUCCACAAUAUCUAGUGGAUAGAGCAGUAUCUAGUGGUGGAAAAGCUAUGGUAGAAAUUACAGUAGAGUCUCACUUAUCCAACGUUCUGGAUUAUCCAACACCGCCGGGUCCCCAAGCUAGAUAUUCGCUUAUCCAACAUUCUGCCAGCCCGUUUAUGUUGGAUAAGUGAGACUCUACUGUAGUAGGAUUUCAACGGGUAUGGAAGAAACUGGGCAAGGUUCAAUGCAAUCUUCUUGGCUGUUCUUAAAGACUGAAGAAAGCUAUUCAAGAAAUCAUCACCAACUCCUGAUUUGGCUGGAAAACCAUCUGGCUAAGAUCUACGUCCUAAUUGGCUCUGAACUCCGGUGGAUUUCACUUCUGGUUGGUGCUUCAUGUGGUGAUGAGCCAACGCAUUAAAAGGACCAUGGCGACGCAACGGGUUAAACUGCUGAGCAGCUGAAUUUGCUGACCAGAAGGUUGACGGUUCGAAUCCGUGGGACGGGGUGAGCUAAUUUCUACUUUGACCUGCACUAAGACUAUACAAACUUUAUAAGUGUCUUGGGAGGGAGGGG